rnacentral:rRNA from 1 species
CCCUUAGAUGUUCUGGGCCGCACGCGCGCUACACUGACGAAUGCAACGAGCUUAUAACCUUGGCCGAAAGGUCUGGGUAAUCUCCAAAUUUCGUCGUGAUGGGGAUAGAUUAUUGCAAUUAUUAAUCUUCAACGAGGAAUGCCUAGUAAGCGCAAGUCAUCAGCUUGCGUUGAUUACGUCCCUGCCUUUUGUACACACCGCCCGUCGCUCCUACCGAUUGAAUGGUCCGGUGAAGCGUUCGGACCGUGGCCUUUGGACGGUUCGCCGUCUGUUGGCUGCGGGAAGUUCGUUAAACCUUAUCAUUUAGAGGAAGGAGAAGUCGUAACA